CGGUUCGUAGAGAUUCGGCUAGGGUGCCUUUCCGUCGUGCGGUUAGGCUGUUUCCUUGAGGAAAUUGUGGCGUUCAAAGCAAUUGAAUGAGCAAAGUAGCAUCGGAAAACAUCGUAUGCCCUCUCUGCCGAAGAAGUGAGGUAGAGAGGGAAUGUUGGAUAGGGGUGUCUGGGGGCGUGGGUAUUUGCCGGAGAGAGGUGAAAUUUUUAGACCCGGCAAGGACCGUCGGAUGCGAAAGCGCUCGCCCAAGGCAUUCCCUUUAUCAAGGACGAGGGCUGGGGGAUCGAAGACGAUUAGAUACCGUCCGUAGUCCCAGCAGUAAACUAUGCCGACUCGAUGUUCGGUAGGAGAAGAAAACUUUACUGGGUAUCGGAAGAGAAAUCGAAGUCUCUGGGCCCCGGGGGGAGUAUUGUCGCAAGACGGAAACUUAAAGGAAUUGACGGAAGGGCACCACCAGGAGUGGAGCCUGCGGCUUAAUUCGACUCAACGCGGGAAAACUCACCAGGCCAGAACAUUGUUGUGAUAGUCGGGUGAAAAGACCUUUCUAGAUUCUAUGGGUGGUGGUGCAUGGCCGUUCUUAGUCGGUGGGGUGACUUGUCUGGUUAAUUCCGAUAACGGACGAGACCUCGACUGGCCGGUUUGGGCGUUCCUUUACGAGGGCGACGUUCUUUUCGGUAGGACAACGG
rnacentral:rRNA from 1 species